UGCACACUCUCUAAAGCCUAUCAAUGCUAGGACUUGUAGGGUAUUCAAAUUGUUCAAGUGAAUGUUAACCUGCCAUUUUAAGAUGUAUUAGCUACGACGUGGUUUAUGAAUAGAAGAAAAUCAACAAUAUUAUGAAAUUCAAUUUGCCGUUAUUGUACACACUUCUGUAAUAAUUCGCACUUAACACACAACACCAUAAUUAGUUUUCAUUCAAUGCAGGUAUAAGAAUGCUACACAUCGAAUUAA